rnacentral:misc_RNA from 1 species
AGCAGCCGCGGUAAUUCCAGCUCCAAUAGCGUAUAUUAAAGUUGUUGCAGUUAAAAAGCUCGUAGUUGAAUUUCGGGAUUGACACAUCGGUCGUGCCUUAAGGGGUAUGAACUGGUGUAGUCAAUUUCUCACCUUCUGGAGAACCGCAAUGCCCUUAAUUGGGUGUCGCGGGGAACCAGGACCUUUACUUUGAAAAAAUUUAGAGUGUUUAAAGCAGGCAUUUUGCUUGAAUACAUUAGCAUGGAAUAAUAAAAUAGGACGGCAUGAUUCUAUUUUGUUGGUUUCUAGGAUCACCGUAAUGAUUAAUAGGGAUAGUUGGGGGGCAUUAGUAUUCAAUUGUCAGAGGUGAAAUUCUUGGAUUUAUUGAAGACUAACUACUGCGAAAGCAUUUGCCAAGGAUGUUUUCAUUAAUCAAGAACGAAAGUUAGGGGAUCGAAGACGAUCAGAUACCGUCGUAGUCUUAACCAUAAACUAUGCCGACUAGGAAUCAGACGAUGUUAAUUUUUUAAUGACUCGUUUG